UCGUGAAGAUCAGCGCGCUGAAGUCGCCGGUUUGCUACUUACUAUACUACAUAUAAUAUGACUAUAAAAUUUACAUACCAAACCACUCGGAACACAAUUCUGUUUUCUAAAACAAUAAGUGUGUACAACGUUCGUGCGCUGAUCGGAUUAGCAAUUUAGUGAACGCAUACUCGCGAGCGUGUACCGAACAGCGGUGCAGUAGUACAAUAAGUGAGCGCCUGAGUAAGCGCUGGCGAUGACAUCAAUGGAGUGAGCGCAGUUCGUGCGCCUCGAUGGGACGCUCGCUGUAGUUACCUGUCGCUUUGGCCACGUCUGCUACGAUCAGUUGAACGACAGCUAGCAACAAGUCCGCUUGUUAGCCAAGCGUAGCGGAUGUCUACUAAGUUUGUUCAGCCAACAAGUAUGACUACAAACAGUAUACUUUGUGCAUGUUUUAAACAUUGGAGGCUGACUAUUUGAGAUGAUCGUGUCGGCUUAUUUUACCGAACAGUGUUGCUAACCAGACUCAGGCAGUUUCAGUGCUAAAUAAAUAAAUACAACCAAACAGUGCUUUAAAUAUCUGCAAAAAAAAAACACUAAAGACUGAAAACAUAAUAAAAUAAAACAUUGGAAAAAUGCCACUUAGUUAACACUCAGGUGCGAAUUGGAAGCAGACCAAAAAGAAAGAAGUUCGAGAAGCCAAAAAAAUGUGAUCGCCUGAGUUGUGAUGAGCUGGAAUGGAGGCAAUGAAAGCAAUGAAAGCAAACAACAACAGUACUAAUUUAUUAGCUGAUUCAAGUUUUGUUGCUUUGUAGUGUUUGUCGAACUGUUAAAAAGCCUCGAGUAAACACCAAAGGCCAGACUACUAGUACACGGACCAGAAUAACACAAAGUCAACAGAAUUUUAGUGGGCCGGCAAAUGAACUGAACUGGCGGCAGGCAGUCAAAAGCCGCGAAUCGACACCAUUGUUUUGUGUUGGUAUUUGCGUUGGAAUUAAGCGACAACAGCCGAAAGUCAACAGUUAUGAAUUGAACAGUUACGUAGCCAAAUCGAAUAUUUCGAAGAGGAGCUCCCGUUGAAGAACAAUUUGGUCGAAGUAAAAUUACUUUCACGUGGGCAUAUUUUGUACAAAUACAACCAUUUGAUGACAUGCUACAUAUGUAUACAUUAACAGUACCGUCGUUAGCGCAAAAUAUGGAAAUUACAAAAAAUUGCAGUGCUGAAUCUUACCACCAACAGACGCAUUGCUCAUUUUCUCUGCUUUGGAAAUAUGAGCUCUUACUGUUAAACGCGCAUAUGCUCCCGUGUGCCUACCGAGAACUGUCAGUUGACUCCUGUCAAAAAGUUGACAAAAAAGAUAAGCUAUACUCUUUUGUUUUUGGUAGCUCUGUUGCAGUCAGUUAUUGCUGCCUGCUGUCAGUUCUUGUCAAUUUUCGUCCUUGACUGAAGCUGGUGCGAAACUUGAGCCUCCAGCCCGAAAAAGUUGACGUUGAAGUGUGAUGCUCUGGACACAGCGAAAAUAUUUUGUGUUCCGCACGUAUGAGAAAAAAGCAAACAUCCACCGUUGCCUGCAGUCCACCAUUGGCAGCCGCAAGUGAUUAGAGACAACUGACGGAUGGAAUUCCUGGCUGUAAGCGCCAUCGGCAUUUUGAGGCAGCUGCUGUUGAAUCAGAGCCCCGCUCAUUACUGCGGUCCAUUGCUCGUGCUGCUGAGGUCUUCUAGUUACUGCAGACUCAGCCGGCUAGUCUAUCAUGUCGUAAGAAUCGACACACGACAACCAGAGUGAUUAGCUGCAGCGAAAGGAGAAGUCGUAUGUUGCUGCGAGCAGCAGAAACGUCAGCUGACGGCUACCAGAAACCGAAGUACCCGAUUGAAGCGAUUUGUUUGGCGAAACGCAUGCUAACUUGUUCCACCGCUUAUGCCAAACCGUCGGACUCCAUCGACUGACAUUAAUUGGCCAUUGAAGUGGCAGUUUCGUGAGCUUCGUGUAGUCAUACGCAUAAUUUGCCACACAAAGCGAAACAGUCGCUCAGUUGCCCAGCCAACAUCAAUCAAAAUGCAAAUUUGGGCUGUCACAACUGGCGAGUAAUAAGUGUCAAGCAGCAAAUGCGCGAUCGUUAAUGAUGCAAGAUGACGACAAAUAAAAUUAUUUGCCAAACAAGGACAGCUGCCGAAUACACGGACGCAAAUAUAUUUUUAAACAAAAAAAUUAAAUUUGUUGUUGUUAAAAGAGUUUAGUCGCUUUGAGAUUUAAAAGGCAACAUGAGGAU